rnacentral:rRNA from 1 species
AGUUUGAUUAUGGCUCAGAUUGAACGCUGGCGGGAUGCGCGCUACACAUGCAAGUCGAACGGCAGCACGGACUUCGGUCUGGUGGCGAGUGGCGAACAGGUGAGUAAUGUAUCGGAACGUGCCUAGUAGCGGGGGAUAACUACGCGAAAGCGUAGCUAAUACCGCAUACGCCCUUCGGGGGAAAGCGGGGGACCUUCGGGCCUCGCACUAUUAGAGCGGCCGAUAUCGGAUUAGCUAGUUGGUGGGGUAACGGCUCGCAAGGCGACGAUCCGUAGCUGGUUUGAGAAGGACAGCCAGCCACACUGGGACUGAGACACGGCCCAGACUCCUGGGAGGCAGCAGUGGGGAAUUUUGGACAAUGGGGAAACCCUGAUCCAGCCAUCCCGCGUGUGCGAUGAAGGCCUUCGGGGACAUGAAAGCACUUUUUGGCAGGAAAGAAACGGCACGGGAUAAUACCCCGUGCAACUGACGGUACCUGCAGAAUAAGCACCGGCUAACUACGUGCCAGCAGCCGCGGUAAUACGUAGGGUGCAAGCGUUAAUCGGAAUUACUGGGCGUAAAGCGUGCGCAGGCGGUUCGGAAAGAGAAAGAUGUGAAAUCCAGAGCUUAACUUUGGAACACAUUUUAACUACCGAGCUAGAGUGUGUCAGAGGAGGUGGAAUUCCGCGUGUAGCAGUGAAAUGCGUAGAUAUGCGGAGGAACACCGAUGGCGAAGAGCAGCCUCCUGGGAUAACACUGACGCUCAUGCACGAAAGCGUGGGGAGCAAACAGGAUUAGAUACCUGGUAGUCCACGCCCUAAACGAUGUCAACUAGCUGUUGGGGCCUUCGGGCUUGGUAGCGCAGCUAACGCGUGAAGUUGACCGCCUGGGGAGUACGGUCGCAAGAUUAAAACUCAAAGGAAUUGACGGGGACCCGCACAAGCGGUGGAUGAUGUGGAUUAAUUCGAUGCAACGCGAAAAACCUUACCUACCCUUGACAUGUCUGGAAUCCCGAAGAGAUUUGGGAGUGCUCGCAAGAGAACCGGAACACAGGUGCUGCAUGGCUGUCGUCAGCUCGUGUCGUGAGAUGUUGGGUUAAGUCCCGCAACGAGCGCAACCCUUGUCAUUAGUUGCUACGAGGCACUCUAAUGAGACUGCCGGUAAACCGGAGGAAGGUGGGGAUGACGUCAGAUCCUCGCGUAGCCCUUAUGGGUAGGGCUUCACACGUCAUACAAUGGUCGGGACAGAGGGUCGCCAGCCGCGAGGGGUAAUCCCAGAAACCCGAUCGUAGUCCGGAUCACAGUCUGCAACUCGACUGCGUGAAGUCGAGAUCGCUAGUAAUCGCGGAUCAGCAUGUCGCGGUGAAUACGUUCCCGGGUCUUGUACACCGCCCGUCACCAUGGGAGUGGGUUUUACCAGUAGUUAGCCUAACCGUAAGGAGGCGAUUACCACGGUAGGAUUCAUGACUGGGGUGAAGUCGUAACAAAGUACAA